rnacentral:misc_RNA from 1 species
GUAUGGCAAAUUUCUGAUGAAAGUUACAUUGGUUAGAAGUCCUGCGAAACAAGUUCAACAACGAGCAACAAUGUAUCUCUCGCAACUAUUAAGAACUAAUGUAAGUUCCUGUGAUAAUCUACAUGUUAUCCACAACUGAACUGCUGCCCUCUGUAUUUUCUACCAUUCAUGGUUAACAGAAGAGGGUUUCAAUUUAACAUACGAUAAUGAUACAUGUUGCUUUUUUCUAUACAACAUAUCGCAAU